rnacentral:rRNA from 1 species
UACAUGUGGGGCAAGCGUUGUUCGGAAUUACUGGGCAUAAAGGGUGCGUAGGCGGUUUUGUAAGUCGGGCGUGAAAUCCGAUGGCCCAACCAUCGAACUGCGCUUGAUACUGCGAGACUUGAGUGCGUGAGGGGAGACUGGAACGAGUGGUGUAGCGGUGAAAUGCGUAGAUAUCACUCGGAACGCCAACGGCGAAGGCAGGUCUCUGGUACGCAACUGACGCUGAGGCACGAAAGCGUGGGGAGCAAACAGG